AUGUCUGGAAUCCUUGAUAUCCUGCCAAUGAAGGAGGAUGAUAUCCUCAACUUGCUUGCAGCAGGAACUCACUUAGGUAGCCCCAACCUUGACUUCCAAAUGGGACAGCACAAGUAUAAAAGAAAAGUGAUGGCAUCUGCAUCAUAAAUAUGAAGAAGACCUGGGAGAAGCUUCUGCUGGCAGCUCUUGUCAUUGUUGCCACUGAAAACCUUGCUGAUUUCCCUGUCUUAUCCUCCAGGAAUUCUGGCUGCUGGGUUGUGCUGAAGCGCACCACUGCCACUGGAGCCAUUCCUAUUGCUGGUCACUUCACUCCUGGAAACUUCACUAACCAAAUCCAAGCGGCCUUCUCGGAGCUCCAGUUUCUGGUGGUUACUGAUCCCAGGGCUGACCAUUACCUCUCACAGAGUAAUCUUAUGUUAACCUGACUCCCAUUGCUCUGUGGAAAACAGAUUCUCCUCUGCAUUGUGUGGACAUUGCCAUCCCAUGCAACAAGGGAGUUCCCUCAGUGGGUCUGAUGGUGAAUGCCAGCUUGGAAGUUGUACACACACGGUACCAUCUCCCAUGAGCAUCCAUGGAAGGUCCUGCCUGAUCUUUACUUCUACAGAAAUCCUGAAAAGACUGAAAAGGAAGAGCAGACGUUGCUGAAAAGACCAUAACCAAGGAGGAGUUUCAGGGUGUAUGGACUGCUGCUGCAGCUCCUGAGUUCACUGCUACUCAGCCUGAGGUUGCAGAUUGGUCUGAAAGUGGGCAGGUAUCCUCAGUGCUUAUCAAGCAGUUCUCUACUCAAGACUAGAGUGCUCAGCCUGCCAGGGAAGAUUGAUUUGCAGCUCCCGCUGCUCAGACCACUGAACGGGUAGGAACAACCUCUGAGUGAUCUUAA
rnacentral:lncRNA from 1 species